CAGUCGCCGCGGUAAAACGGAGGGGGCUAGCGUUGUUCGGAAUUACUGGGCGUAAAGCGCACGUAGGCGGCUUUGUAAGUCAGAGGUGAAAGCCCGGGGCUCAACCCCGGAAUUGCCUUUGAGACUGCAUCGCUUGAAUCCAGGAGAGGUGAGUGGAAUUCCGAGUGUAGAGGUGAAAUUCGUAGAUAUUCGGAAGAACACCAGUGGCGAAGGCGGCUCACUGGACUGGUAUUGACGCUGAGGUGCGAAAGCGUGGGGAGCAAACAGGAUUAGAUACCCCGGUAGUCCCUGUCUCUUAUAC
rnacentral:rRNA from 1 species